rnacentral:rRNA from 1 species
UACAGAGGGGGCAAGCGUUAUUCGGAAUUAUUGGGCGUAAAGGGCGCGUAGGCGGCAUGGCAAGUGGAAGGUGAAAUCCCUCGGCUUAACCGGGGAACUGCGUCUGAUACUGGAUGGCUUGAGUGUGGGAGAGGGAUGCGGAAUUCCAGGUGUAGCGGUGAAAUGCGUAGAUAUCUGGAGGAACACCGGUGGCGAAGGCGGCAUCCUGGACCAUUACUGACACUGAAUAGCGAAAGCCAGGGGAGCAAACGGG